rnacentral:rRNA from 1 species
UAAGGAAUAUUGGUCAAUGGAGGCAACUCUGAACCAGCCAUGCCGCGUGCAGGAAGAAGGCCCUAUGGGUCGUAAACUGCUUUUGAACAAGAGAAAACCCCGGUACGUGUACUGGGUUGAUAGUAUUGUUAGAAUAAGCAUCGGCUAACUUCGUGCCAGCAGCCGCGGUAAGACGAAGGAUGCAAGCGUUAUCCGGAUUCAUUGGGUUUAAAGGGUGCGUAGGCGGACUGAUAAGUCAGUGGUGAAAUCUCUCGGCUUAACCGAGAAACUGCCAUUGAUACUGUUAGUCUAGAGUACAGAUGAUGUGGGCGGAAUAUGACAUGUAGUGGUGAAAUACUUAGAUAUGUCAUAGAACACCGAUUGCGAAGGCAGCUCACAAAACUGUAACUGACGCUGAGGCACGAAAAGUGCGGGGAUCAAACAGGAUUAGAUACCCGCGUAGUCCCUGAGCGGGCUGGCAAGGCGCAU